rnacentral:rRNA from 1 species
GUGUCAGCAGCCGCGGUAAUACGGAGGGGGCUAGCGUUGUUCGGAAUUACUGGGCGUAAAGCGCGCGUAGGCGGACCUGCAAGUCGGGGGUGAAAGCCCGAGGCUCAACCUCGGAACUGCCUUCGAUACUGCGGGUCUCGAGUCCGGGAGAGGUGAGUGGAAUUCCUAGUGUAGAGGUGAAAUUCGUAGAUAUUAGGAAGAACACCAGUGGCGAAGGCGGCUCACUGGCCCGGUACUGACGCUGAGGCGCGAAAGCGUGGGGAGCAAACAGGAUUAGAUACCCUGGUAGUCC